rnacentral:rRNA from 1 species
AGAGUUUGAUCCUGGCUCAGAGCGAACGCUGGCGGCGUGCUUAACACAUGCAAGUCGAACGCGCAGCAUUCUGUAGCAAUACAGGGUGUGGGCGCGUGGCGAACGGGUGCGUAACACGUGGAUAACCUUCCUUCAGGUGGGGAAUAACCCAGUGAAAAUUGGGCUAAUACCGCAUAACAUCGCGAUGGCACAUGCUGUUGCGUUCAAAGGCGCAAGUCGCCAGAAGAGGGAUCCGCGGCCGAUUAGCUUGUUGGCGGGGUAACGGCCCACCAAGGCUUUGAUCGGUAGCCGGACUGAGAGGUUGGCCGGCCACACUGGAACUGAGACACGGUCCAGACUCCUACGGGAGGCAGCAGUGGGGAAUCUUGCACAAUGGACGAAAGUCUGAUGCAGCAACGCCGCGUGGGGGAUGAAGCUUCUCGGAGUGUAAACCCCUUUCGACCCGGACGAAUGCCCGCAAGGGCUUGACGGUACGGGUAUAAGAAGCCCCGGCUAACUACGUGCCAGCAGCCGCGGUAAUACGUAGGGGGCCAGCGUUGCUCGGAAUUACUGGGCGUAAAGGGUCCGUAGGCGGUGCGGCAAGUCGAUAGUGAAAUCUCUGGGCUUAACUCAGAGGCUGCUAACGAAACUGCCGUGCUAGAGUGUGAGAGAGGCGAGUGGAAUUACGGGUGUAGCGGUGAAAUGCGUAGAUAUCCGUAGGAACAUCCGAGGCGAAAGCGGCUCGCUGGAUCACAACUGACGCUGAGGGACGAAAGCUAGGGGAGCAAACAGGAUUAGAUACCCUGGUAGUCCUAGCCCUAAACCAUCAGGACUUGGGGUUUGCCCUGUACGGGGCAAGUCCCGUAGCUAACGCGUUAAGUCCUGCGCCUGGGGAGUACGGUCGCAAGGCUGAAACUCAAAGGAAUUGACGGGGGCCCGCACAAGCGGUGGAACAUGUGGUUCAAUUCGACGCAACGCGAAGAACCUUACCUGGGCUUGAACCGCACA